UUAAAUUGAGAGUUUGAUCCUGGCUCAGGAUGAACGCUGGUGGCGUGCCUAAUACAUGCAAGUCGUACGCUAGCCGCUGAAUUGAUCCUUCGGGUGAAGUGAGGCAAUGACUAGAGUGGCGAACUGGUGAGUAACACGUAAGAAACCUGCCCUUUAGUGGGGGAUAACAUUUGGAAACAGAUGCUAAUACCGCGUAACAACAAAUCACACAUGUGAUCUGUUUGAAAGGUCCUUUUGGAUCGCUAGAGGAUGGUCUUGCGGCGUAUUAGCUUGUUGGUAGGGUAGAAGCCUACCAAGGCAAUGAUGCGUAGCCGAGUUGAGAGACUGGCCGGCCACAUUGGGACUGAGACACUGCCCAAACUCCUACGGGAGGCUGCAGUAGGGAAUUUUCCGCAAUGCACGAAA
rnacentral:rRNA from 1 species